rnacentral:rRNA from 1 species
UACGAAGGGGGCUAGCGUUGCUCGGAAUCACUGGGCGUAAAGCGCACGUAGGCGGGUCGUUAAGUCGGGGGUGAAAUCCUGGAGCUCAACUCCAGAACUGCCUUCGAUACUGGCGAUCUUGAGUCUGGGAGAGGUGAGUGGAACUCCGAGUGUAGAGGUGAAAUUCGUAGAUAUUCGGAAGAACACCAGUGGCGAAGGCGGCUCACUGGCUCGGUACUGACGCUGAGGUGCGAAAGCGUGGGGAGCAAACAGG